UCAUAUCCCCCCUUAUGUAUUUAUACAUGGAGAUCAUAUCCCCCCUUAUGUAUUUAUACAUGGAGAUCAUACCCCCCUCUAGGGAAUAGAUCCGGUUCCCCUCCUCCUAUCGGGUUGGUCGCCCUUCUCUCCCCUCCUGAUCUUCUAUUUCAGAGUCUCCAUGUGUGACGUGAAGAACGAGGAACUGCGCUGGAGCGCCACCUCCUGGACGACACGGCCGCCCGCCCCCCUGAGGGCACAGAACUCUCGAUAUUUCGCAUUGGAGACGAUCUGGCGGGGGCGAUGGAUUCCGGAGACGUUCCGUAAGAAUUGCGCCUCUCCGGUAGUGACGCUGUAUACCUCCAGGCAGUAUCCCCUCCCCCCCCCCAAGAGGCGGAGACCAUAAAUAAAGUGAUGUGACUCUAUAGGAUGAGUGAUAACGGAAUCCAAUAAAGGGGCGGAGCCU